rnacentral:lncRNA from 1 species
CACUUGCAGAGUUUACAAACAGAGUGUUUCCUAACUGCUCUAUGAAAAGAAAGGUUAAACUCUGUGAGUUGAACGCACACAUCACAACGCAGUUUGUGCGAAUGAUUCUGUCUAGUUUUGAAACGAAGAUAUUUCCUUUUCUUCCAUUGACCUUAAAGCGCUUGAAAUCUCCACUUGCCAAUUGCACAAAAAGAGUGUUUCAAAUCUGCUCUGUCUAAGGGAACGUUCAACUCUGUGAGUUGAAUGCACACAACACAAGGAAGUUACUGGGAAUUCUUCUGUCUAGCCUUACAAGAAAAAAACCCGUUUCCAAAGAAGGCAUCUAAGUGGUCAAAAUAUCCACGUGCAGACUUUACAAACAGAGUGUUUCCGAACUGCUGAAUGAAAAGAAAAGUUAAACUCUGAGAGUUGAACGCACACAUCGCAGAGCAGUUUCUGAGAAUGAUUCUGUCUAGUUUUUAUACGAAGAUAUUUCCUUUUCUGACUUUGGCCUCAAAGCGCUUGAAAUCUCCACUUGCAAAUUCCACAAAAAGAGUGUUUCAAAUCUGCUCUGUCUAAAUGAAAGUUCAACUCUGUCAGUUGAAUACACACAACACAAGGAAGUUACUGAGAAUUCUUCUGUCUAGUCUUAUAUGAAAAAAAACCGUUUCCAAUGAAGGCCUCAAAGAGGUCAAAAUAUCCACGUGCAGACUUUACAAACAGAGUGUUUCCUAACUGCUCUAUGAAAAGAAAGGUUAAACUCUGUGAGUUGAACGCACUCAUCUCAAGGGAGUUUCUGAGAAUCAUUCUGUCUAGUUUUUAUACGAAGAUAUUUCCUUUUCUACCAUUGACUUCAAAGCGGCUGAAAUCUCCACUUGCAAAUUCCACAAAAAGAGUGUUUCAAGCCUGCUCUGUGUAAAGGAUCGUUCAACUCUUUGAGUUGAAUACACACAACACAAGGAAGAUUCUGAGAAUUCUUCUGUCUAGCAGAAUAUGAAGAAAUCCCGUUACCAAUAAGGCCACAAGAUGUCAGAAUAUCAACUUACAGACUUUACAAACAGAGUGUUUCCUAACUGUUCUAUGAAAAGAAAAGUUUAACUCUGUGAGUUGAACGAACACAUCACAACGCAGUUUGUGGGAAUGAUUCUGUCUAGUUUUGAAACGAAGAUAUUUCCUUUUCUGCCUUUGGCCUCAAAGCGCUUGAAAUCUCCACUUGCAAAUUCCACAAAAAGAGUGUUUCAAAUCUGCUCUGUCUAAAUGAAAGUUCA